GAAAUCCAGUUGUAGUCCCACAUGAGAUGGAGGCUCAGACAGUCACGUGUGGUUUUUCUGGCCCUGAUAAAACAUGUUUCUACAAGUAACCCUAUAAGUCCCUUUAAACUAGAACCUGGUUGGCUGCCAGCUACUGAGGGAUCCUGCUCUGAAAUUAAAUGCCAAGUCACAAGAGAUGUUGAUGAUCAUGAUGCAAACUGGUUUUGGAUGAAAGAUAGACGAUGGGUCGACAGUGAAAAAGACUUUACAUCCACUGUCAUUUACAGCACAAACACCUUGACACGUCCGGUCAGUCCUGACUUUGCAAACAGAGUGAAAUACAUCGGUUCUUCAUCUUCAAGUUGGAGGAAUAGUUACUCUGCCUGGCCGAAGCCACUGUGCAGUAUUUUGAUCUGUGACCUGAGAACAAGUGACAGCGGAAAGUAUUCUUUGAGAUUCGUAGGGUGGAAAACUUGGUCAUCUGAAGAAGUGACCCUCGACGUUACCGUAAACCGAUGCCCGCUCACUUUUGAGGGACCAGCUGUCGUGGUGGAGUCCGACUGAGGUCACACUCA